AGAGUUUGAUCCUGGCUCAGGACGAACGCUGGCGGCGUGCCUAACACAUGCAAGUCGAACGCGUCUGUGCUUCGGCACAGAUGAGUGGCGAACGGGUGAGUAACGCGUGAGUAACUCCCCUUGGGGAGGGGGAUAACCAUCUGAAAAGGUGGCUAAUACCCCAUAUUCUCUUUUCUCAUAAGAGGAAGGAGGAAAGGUGGCGCAAGCUGCCACCCCGAGAGAGGCUCGCGUCCCAUCAGCUAGUUGGUAGGGUAAUGGCCUACCAAGGCUAUGACGGGUAGCUGGUCUGAGAGGAUGGUCAGCCACACUGGGACUGAGACACGGCCCAGACUCCUACGGGAGGCAGCAGUGAGGAAUCUUGGGCAAUGGGCGAAAGCCUGACCCAGCGACGCCGCGUGGAGGAAGAAGGCCUUCGGGUCGUAAACUCCUGUUUGGGGAGAAGAACAAGAGAGAAGUUAAUAGCUUCUCUCUCUGACGGUAUCCCCGGAGAAAGCUCCGGCUAAUUACGUGCCAGCAGCCGCGGUAAUACGUAAGGAGCGAGCGUUGUCCGGAUUUACUGGGCGUAAAGGGCUCGUAGGUGGUUUCUUAGGUCUCACGUGAAAUUCCCUGGCUCAACCAGGGAGGGUCGUGGGAAACCGAGAGGCUAGAGGGCAGGAGAGGAGAGUGGAAUUCCCGGUGUAGCGGUGAAAUGCGUAGAGAUCGGGAGGAACACCAGUGGUGAAGACGGCUCUCUGGACUGUCCCUGACACUGAGGAGCGAAAGCCAGGGGAGCAAACCGGAUUAGAUACCCGGGUAGUCCUGGCCGUAAACGAUGGGUACUAGUGUGGGGGGUUCGACCCCCUCCGUGCCGCAGUUACGCAUUAAGUACCCGCCUGGGGAGUACGGCGCAAGGUUGAAACUCAAGGAAUGACGGGGCCCGCA
rnacentral:rRNA from 1 species